GAUGAACGCUGACAGAGUGCUUAACACAUGCAAGUCGAUGGGGAAGUGGUGCUUGCACCAUGGCAACCAUGGCGGACGGGUGAGUAACGCGUAAGGGACUUACCUGCAGGACUGGGAUAACAGGGGGAAACUCCUGACAAGACCGGAUAAUGUCAUGGAGCUGCAUGGCUUUAUGAUGAAAGGAGACGCCUGCGGAGAGCCUUGCGUCCUAUUAGCUAGUUGGUGAGGUAAUGGCUCACCAAGGCGAAGAUAGGUAGCCGGCCUGAGAGGGUGGACGGCCACAAGGGGACUGAGAUACGGCCCUUACUCCUACGGGAGGCAGCAGUGGGGAAUAUUUGACAAUGGGGGCAACCCUGAUCCAGCAAUUCUGUGUGCACGAAGAAGGUUUUCGGAUUGUAAAGUGCUUUCAGCAGGGAAGAAGUAAGUGACGGUACCGGCAGAAGAAGCGACGGCGAAAUACGU
rnacentral:rRNA from 1 species